UACAGAGGUCCCAAGCGUUGUUCGGAUUCACUGGGCGUAAAGGGUGCGUAGGUGGUGAGGUAAGUCGGAUGUGAAAGCUCCGAGCUCAACUCGGAAAUGGCAUUGGAAACUACCUUGCUAGAGGGUUUGAGGGGGGACUGGAAUACUUGGUGUAGCAGUGAAAUGCGUAGAUAUCAAGGUGGAACACCAGUGGCGAAGGCGAGUCCCUGGAAAACUCCUGACACUGAGGCACGAAAGCUAGGGGAGCAAACAGG
rnacentral:rRNA from 1 species